rnacentral:rRNA from 1 species
GACGAACGCUGGCGGCGUGCUUAACACAUGCAAGUCGAACGGAAAGGCCCUGCUUUUGUGGGGUGCUCGAGUGGCGAACGGGUGAGUAACCCGUGAGUAACCUGCCCUUGACUUUGGGAUCACUUCAGGGAACUGGGGCUAAUACCGGAUAGGAGCUCCUGAUGCGUGGUGGGGGUUGGAAAGUUUCGGCGGUUGGGGAUGGACUGGCGGGUUAUCUGCUUGUUGGUGGGGCAGUGGCUUACCAAGGCUUUGACGGGUAGCCGGCCUGGGAGGGUGACCGGCCACAUUGGGACUGAGAUACGGCCCAGACUCCUACGGGAGGCAGCAGUGGGGAAUAUUGCACAAUGGGCGGAAGCCUGAUGCAGCAACGCCGCGUGCGGGAUGACGGCCUUCGGGUUGUAAACCGCUUUCGCCUGUGACGAAGCGUGAGUGACGGUAAUGGGUAAAGAAGCACCGGCUAACUACGUG